rnacentral:rRNA from 1 species
UACAGAGGUCCCGAGCGUUGUUCGGAUUCAUUGGGCGUAAAGGGUGCGUAGGCGGCGGGGUAAGUUUGAUGUGAAAUUCCGUGGCUCAACCCUGGCAUGGCAUUGAAUACUACCUUGCUAGAGUACCGGAGAGGAAACUGGAAUUUACGGUGUAGCAGUGAAAUGCGUAGAGAUCGUAAGGAAGACCAGUGGCGAAGGCGAGUUUCUGGACGGUAACUGACGCUGAGGCACGAAGGCCAGGGGAGCAAACGGG